rnacentral:rRNA from 1 species
ACCACUUUAAUUUGAUGGAAGUGUAAGCACUAAGUAUGUUAAAUAUGGAAAUUUAAUAGGUACUAAUUCCAGUUUAAAGUUUUGAAUAAUGUAUGAAAAUGUAACUCAGAUAACUUACUAGUUUAGGUUCAUUAGGUGCCAGCAACCGCGGUCAUACCUAAUAAAUUAGCUUAUAAAUAUAUAUUAAGAUUAAUCGAAUUUACUUUUAAAACCCACAUAUGUAGUGAAAUACUAUGUUUUUUAUAACUCUUAAAAAUAAACUAGUUUAAAAAUCCAUACAUAAAACUAGGAUUAGAGACCCUACUAUUAUGGACGUAUUAGUCUUCUUAAUAAGAACUAAAACUAACUAGUUAAAACUUAAAUAUUAUGGCGGCUAAAUAAAACACUUAGGGGAACUUACCAUAUAAUUGAUAAUCACCAAGCAUAAUAAUACUUACUAUAAUAAUAUGUAUACCGUUGUCUUCAUGUACCCUCUUAGAGGGUACAGUAUUUUAUUAACUUAUUUAAAGGUAAAUCAAGGUGCAGUCUAUUAGUAAGAAAUAAGGUGAGUUACAAUAAACAUUUUUAUCAGAUUACCCUAUGAAAUAAGGUAUAAAGAUGGACUUAAAAGUAUAUUUAUAAAUUUAAAUUUAAAAGUCGAAUAGAUUUUAUUGAGUGUA